AUGCCAUGCCAUCAAAAAAACCUACAAAAAUUCAACACAAAGUUUCAUUCAACAAGCCAAACCAUUCUGCAAUCUAAACAUCCUUAUAACAUUCCAAAAAUAAAGCACAAAUUAUCAAGCACAGUAGUGUUCAUACCAUACAUCCACAAGCCAUGUUACAUACCAAACACACUACCUGCAUCAUAUACGCACACACGCUAA